UUUAAAUUUCUAUAGUUUGCUGACAUAUCAUGUUGUCCAACCACCAGAUUUUCACAAGUGCCUUUCCUGUUCAUUAUAGUCCUCCAAAUGGUUUCCAUUUUGAAGUCAAUGAUGAAUCUUCACCUAUACAGGCAGUUAUCUAUUUGGAUGGUGAUGGUUGCAAGUUAAGAAGUGGACUGGUGAAAAUUGAGGAAGGUUUAACUCUUGACACGUUAAUUGCUUAUGAUUCAUGUGAUCUUUGGUUAAGUACAUUUCUUUGACAAAGCUUCCUAGAAACCAAACUAAUGAUAAUUGCCAACUCUUAAACUCACGGAUACACAUGCCCUUAACAGCAAGAUGACUUUCAUGCACCAUCUCUGCAAGGUAACACCUUUCAUCCAAAGUGAUGCUUUUUCUUCCACUAGGCUAUUAGGCAGCAGUCUUUGAAAUAUAAUGUGAACAAUUAGUCUUUUCUUUCA